CAUUUUAUUUAUAAAAGAAAUAUUGAUAUAUUUUAAAAUCGGAAGUUUCUACAAAAAUAAAAACGAAUAAACUUUCAUUGUUUGCAAAUUUAGGUAUAUUCAGGAAGAAGAUCUAUGUUUUCGUCUUCCAGUCUAUAUAUAUAGGCCUAAUAUAAAUAUAGGUCUGUAGUCUGUGAUAUAUAUUAAGUAAGUUAUUUUACAAUUAUUUGUGCACUUUUUAGCGCUUUCAAAUAAAUGUAACAUUUUCAUAUUUCUGACGCUUGCAGAACAAACUAAUUGUAUUAUAGAGUAGUCAAUAUUCAUUCAAUAUGUCGACUUUGACAUUGUUUUAGUUAUUCUUUUUAUUAUUUUUUUUAUCAAUCUUCCUCUAAAUAUUUUAUUUCGGAUAGCUGCCUGGUGGUGUGUUAUACUCGCUGGACUGUCAUUACGUCGUCUUGAUGGUCCCGGGUUCAUACCCUGCCCGCUGGUAUACCCAGGGGCGGACUGGCUAUGUGGGCAUUCGAGCAAAUGCCCUGUGGGCCUGUACCUAAAUGUGCCGGUAUGGACACCGAAAGGAACCUAUGGAUGGCACUAUGACACGUAUUCAAUUGUUAAAGAUUGUAUAAUAUUCUCUUAUAAACGUGACCCUCUGAAAGUUGUGUUUCAAAGAAAUCUUUUACAGACUCUAAUUAAUCUAACACAUUUUCCGAAAUGAUACAAAGCCUACAUCCAAUGACAGGCUGGUAUACUCCAUCGCUUUAGGGCCUACACAUUUAGCAAUAGAAAAGCAACAUGAGGUCUAUAUUUCUUAUAAAGAUAUAGAGCGUGUGUACAGUUAUCGAUAUAUAUUAUCAAACUUAACAUAAUGACUUUGAGUACAGGUAGGCCUAGAAUUAUGCCCAUCGUAUGAUAUACAUUUUGUAAGCCGGAUUGUAUAGAAAUGCCCGUGCCGAUUUUGACAUCCAGUGCACACCUGGCUAUACCCCGUCUUCUUGCAUGAGGUUUGGACUAGGUUUGGACUAGGUUUGGACUAGGAAGAUAUCUAAAGGAACAUCCGAAACAUGGUAGCAAUUUGUACAAACAUUACGGGUUCAUUAUUUUAUGUUACGUCAUACUGCCUCUACCAUUGAUUUGUCCGUGUAUCCCUCUUUUCGAUUUUCUAGGCCACUGUAUUUUAUCGCUUUAUAAAAUGAACUU
rnacentral:sRNA from 1 species